rnacentral:tRNA from 2 species
CAAAAAAUAGUUUAAAUUUAAAAAUAAUAAUUUUGGAGAUUAUAGAUAAAGUUAUUUCUUUUUUUUUGA